GGUGCUACACAUGCAAGUCGAGGGAGAAAGCCCGCAAGGGCGAGUAAACCGGCGAACGGGUGCGUAACACGUGGACAACUUCCUCGAUGACCGGGAUAACUGGCCGAAAGGCUUGCUAAUACCGGAUAAGCCCCCGGGCUCUUCGGAGCGAGAGGGAAAAGACGGCUCUGCAAGCAAGCUGUCACAUCGAGAUGGGUCCGGGCCCAUCAGCUAGUUGGCGGGGUAACGGCCACCAAGGCAACGACGGGUAGCUGGUCUGAGAGGAUGAUCAGCCACACUGGAACUGAGACACGGUCCAGACUCCUACGGGAGGCAGCAGUGGGGAAUCUUGCGCAAUGGGCGAAAGCCUGACGCAGCAACGCCGCGUGGAGGAUGAAGCCCCUUGGGGCGUAAACUCCUUUCGAUCGGGACGAUUAUGACGGUACCGGAUGAAGAAGCACCGGCUAACUCUGUGCCAGCAGCCGCGGUAAUACAGAGGGUGCGAGCGUUGUUCGGAAUUAUUGGGCGUAAAGGGCGCGUAGGCGGUGCGGCCAAGUCACCUGUGAAACCUCUGGGCUUAACCCAGAGCCUGCAGGCGAAACUGCCGUGCUGGAGUGUGGGAGAGGUGCGUGGAAA
rnacentral:rRNA from 1 species